GUAAUAGAAUUGAUGCGCUAGAGGAGGAGCCUGCGCUUGAUUAGCUAGUUGGUGGGGUAAAAGCCCACCAAGGCGACGAUCAAUAACUGGUCUGAGAGGAUGACCAGUCACAAUGGGACUGAGAUACGGCCCAUACUCCUACGGGAGGCAGCAGUAGGGAAUUUUGCGCAAUGGACGAAAGUCUGACGCAGCAAUACCGCGUGUGGGAAGAAGCUCCGUGGAGUGUAAACCACUGUCGGAUGGGAAGAAUUAAUGACGGUACCAUCAAAGGAAGCACCGGCUAACUCUGUGCCAGCAGCCGCGGUAAUACAGAGGGUGCAAGCGUUGUCCGGAUUUAUUGGGCGUAAAGCGUCUGUAGGCUGCUUAACAAGUCUGGAGUGAAAGAAUGGAGCUCAACUCCAUACCCGCUUCGGAAACUGUUAAGCUAGAGACAGCUAGGGGUUCGUGGAAUUUCCAGUGUAGCGGUGAAAUGCGUAGAUAUUGGAAGGAACACCAGAGGCGAAGGCGGCGAACUGGAGCUGUUCUGACGCUGAGAGACGAAAGCCAGGGGAGCGAAAGGGNNUAGAUACCCCUGUAGUCCUGNCCGUAAACGAUGAGUACUAGCCGUCACGGGAAUCGACCCCUGUGGUGGCGCANCUAACGCGUNNAGUACUCCGCCUGAGUAGUAUGUACGCNAGUAUGAAAC
rnacentral:rRNA from 1 species